CCAGACUCCUACGGGAGGCAGCAGUGGGGAAUAUUGCACAAUGGGGGAAACCCUGAUGCAGCGACGCCGCGUGAGCGAUGAAGUAUUUCGGUAUGUAAAGCUCUAUCAGCAGGGAAGAAAAUGACGGUACCUGACUAAGAAGCCCCGGCUAACUACGUGCCAGCAGCCGCGGUAAUACGUAGGGGGCAAGCGUUAUCCGGAUUUACUGGGUGUAAAGGGAGCGUAGACGGCGGUGCAAGCCAGAUGUGAAAGCCCGGGGCUCAACCCCGGGACUGCAUUUGGAACUGUGCUGCUAGAGUGUCGGAGAGGCAGGCGGAAUUCCUAGUGUAGCGGUGAAAUGCGUAGAUAUCAGGAGGAACACCGGUGGCGAAGGCGGCCUGCUGGACUGCAACUGACGUUGAGGCCCGAAAGCGUGGGGAGCAAACAGGAUUAGAUACCCGGGUAUAA
rnacentral:rRNA from 1 species